rnacentral:rRNA from 1 species
UACGUAGGGUGCAAGCGUUAAUCGGAAUUACUGGGCGUAAAGCGUGCGCAGGCGGUGAUGUAAGACAGAUGUGAAAUCCCCGGGCUCAACCUGGGAACUGCAUUUGUGACUGCAUCGCUGGAGUACGGCAGAGGGGGAUGGAAUUCCGCGUGUAGCAGUGAAAUGCGUAGAUAUGCGGAGGAACACCGAUGGCGAAGGCAGCCCCCUGGGCUAACACUGACGCUCAUGCACGAAAGCGUGGGGAGCAAACAGG